rnacentral:rRNA from 1 species
GAUUCCCCCAGUAGCGGCGAGCGAACGGGGAGCAGCCCAGAGCCUGAAUCAGUAUGUGUGUUAGUGGAAGCGUCUGGAAAGGCGCGCGAUACAGGGUGACAGCCCCGUACACAAAAAUGCACAUGCUGUGAGCUCGAUGAGUAGGGCGGGACACGUGGUAUCCUGUCUGAAUAUGGGGGGACCAUCCUCCAAGGCUAAAUACUCCUGACUGACCGAUAGUGAACCAGUACCGUGAGGGAAAGGCGAAAAGAACCCCGGCGAGGGGAGUGAAAAAGAACCUGAAACCGUGUACGUACAAGCAGUGGGAGCACGCUUAGGCGUGUGACUGCGUACCUUUUGUAUAAUGGGUCAGCGACUUAUAUUCUGUAGCAAGGUUAACCGAAUAGGGGAGCCGAAGGGAAACCGAGUCUUAACUGGGCGUUAAGUUGCAGGGUAUAGACCCGAAACCCGGUGAUCUAGCCAUGGGCAGGUUGAAGGUUGGGUAACACUAACUGGAGGACCGAACCGACUAAUGUUGAAAAAUUAGCGGAUGACUUGUGGCUGGGGGUGAAAGGCCAAUCAAACCGGGAGAUAGCUGGUUCUCCCCGAAAGCUAUUUAGGUAGCGCCUCGUGAAUUCAUCUCCGGGGGUAGAGCACUGUUUCGGCAAGGGGGUCAUCCCGACUUACCAACCCGAUGCAAACUGCGAAUACCGGAGAAUGUUAUCACGGGAGACACACGGCGGGUGCUAACGUCCGUCGUGAAGAGGGAAACAACCCAGACCGCCAGCUAAGGUCCCAAAGUCAUGGUUAAGUGGGAAACGAUGUGGGAAGGCCCAGACAGCCAGGAUGUUGGCUUAGAAGCAGCCAUCAUUUAAAGAAAGCGUAAUAGCUCACUGGUCGAGUCGGCCUGCGCGGAAGAUGUAACGGGGCUAAACCAUGCACCGAAGCUGCGGCAGCGACGCUGAUGCGUUGUUGGGUAGGGGAGCGUUCUGUAAGCCUGCGAAGGUGUGCUGUGAGGCAUGCUGGAGGUAUCAGAAGUGCGAAUGCUGACAUAAGUAACGAUAAAGCGGGUGAAAAGCCCGCUCGCCGGAAGACCAAGGGUUCCUGUCCAACGUUAAUCGGGGCAGGGUGAGUCGACCCCUAAGGCGAGGCCGAAAGGCGUAGUCGAUGGGAAACAGGUUAAUAUUCCUGUACUUGGUGUUACUGCGAAGGGGGGACGGAGAAGGCUAUGUUGGCCGGGCGACGGUUGUCCCGGUUUAAGCGUGUAGGCUGGUUUUCCAGGCAAAUCCGGAAAAUCAAGGCUGAGGCGUGAUGACGAGGCACU